GGAUGUCUAGGCUCGCACAUCGAUGAAGAACGCUGCGAACUGCGAUACGUAAUGCGAAUUGCAGAAUUCAGUGAGUCAUCGAAAUUUUGAACGCACAUUGCACUUUCGGGUUAUGCCUGGAAGUAUGCCUGUAUCAGUGUCCGUACAUCAAACUUGCCU
rnacentral:rRNA from 1 species